AUGGGCUCCGCCAUGGACCACGUCGGCGCGGCGGGCGGGAGGGCCAAGAAGGCGUCCGGCGGCUCGCAGCUGUGGAAGAAGGCGCUGCUGCAUUCCAGCCUCUGCUUCGUCAUGGGCUUCUUCACGGGCUUCGCCCCCUCCUCCGUCUCCGACUGGCGGUCCGUCGCGCCCGCCGGGGUGGGGAGCAGCCACGUGGUGAAGACGCCGCAAGUGAUCGCGUCGGGCGCGGCCAUGGACCGGAGCCUGCUGGCGCGGGACGCGGCCGCGAGAAUCGGGGGCGUCCCGCGGCCUCUCCUGGUGGUCGUGACGACGACCGAGUCGACGCCUACGGCGGCCGGCGAGCGGGCGGCGAUGCUGACCAGGAUGGCGCACACCCUGCGGCUCGUGCCGCCGCCGCUGCUGUGGGUGGUGGUGGAGGCCGCCCCCGACGUGCCGGCGACGGCGAAGCUGCUGCGCGACACGGGGAUCCUGUACCGCCACCUGACCUACAAGGAGAACUUCACGGCCGCCGAGGUCGCCGCGGGCAAGGAGCGCCACCACCAGCGCAACACCGCGCUGGAGCACAUCGAGCGGCACCGCCUCGCCGCCAUCGUCCACUUCGCCGGCCUCGGCGACGUCUACGAGCUGCGCUUUUUCGACCAGCUCCGGCAGAUCAGUACAUUCGGUGCGUGGCCGGUGGCGAGGAUGUCGCGGAACGAGCGGAAGGUGGUCAUCCAGGGCCCUGCGUGCAGCUCCUCCAAGGUCCUCGGCUGGUUCUCCAGGGACCUGAUGAGCAACGGCACCGCCGGCACGGGCGGCGGCACGGCGGCGACCUCGCCUGAGAUUGACGUCCACGGCUUCGCCUUCAACAGCUCCGUGCUCUGGGACCCCGAGCGCUGGGGCCGCUACCCGACCUCCGAGCCCGACAAGUCCCAGGACUCGAUGAGGUUUGUGCAGCAAGUGGUGUCGGAGGAUUAUAGCAAGGUGAAGGGCAUUCCUCCAGAUUGCCUGGAGAUCAUGGUGUGGGGCGUCGACACGACGCCGCCGCCGGCCCCGUCUUCCUCGCAACAAACUCCGGGGAAUAAGAGGAGGUAG
rnacentral:rRNA from 1 species